UAAUAUGUAUGUGGAAACGAUAUUGUUUUACAGGUAGCCUAAAUGAAAAUAAAGUAUGUGCGUGCAUUCAACCACAGCCUUCAGUUGUUUUAUCAGCAUACCGGUAGUUAUUUUACUCUGAAAAUGUAUACUGCAGUUAAAAUAAUGGUUCGUUAGAGUUACACUAUUUUGGACACUAUAUGAGUAUGUAUUAUCAUAGAUUGCUACAAUUAUUCAGCCCAUCGAAGAUCGGAUUAAACUAUCGCCUUUGGUCCUUCACAAACUAUAGUAUGCGCGGAGCAUAUUUACUGUGACACGACGAGGCUCCGUGGAUUAGGUAAAAUUAACAUAGCCAGCUAGCUAUGUUGUUGUUUUUGUACUAACUAUUACGUUAAAAAGAAAUGUCACAAUGUAACAUCAUUGGUUAAGUUGAACUAUUUCAAUCAUUUUCGAACCUCAUAAGGUUUUGUUUGGACAUGAUCGAAGCGGUAUUGCCACGAUUUAUCACCGUGUUUCGUGCUGGCUAGUUUAGCUAAUGGUGUUGGCACAGCGUUUUAAAAUGUAGCUAGUAUGUUUGGUGUUGGCUACUAGAAAGCUCUCUGCAGCUACACAAUGUUUUUUUCUCAUCAGUGUCUGUCAAUGUGUCCCAUAUGUUAGCUAACAUUAACGUGUAAUGUGUCUCGUUUCUAAUUGGUUAGCUAAUCCAUUAUCUUGAUUUGAGCCAGUAAUAAUUAUUGAGUGACCAGUUAGGAUAUAGAAAACCUAGCCAUUAUGUAUCAAUUUAGGCCUAACGGUUACUCUACCACCCACAGAAUUUUGAUCUGCCCGGAGUACCCCUGAAGUACCCCUCCCCCCGUGUAUUUUACCAGUAAACCUAUGGUCUCAUGACAUAAGUAUUCUCCAGUACCACCCCUAUGGAUAGGCCACGUACCCCAGGGAACGACUUGUUUAGUAGGUAAUGUUAUACCGAGAUACUUAUUUGGAAAGGCAAGUUACAAAAAUAGAAUGAGUAUCAACCAUAAUAAAAACAACCCAUACUUCAGUAAUUUGUUUGAUGUUGUAUGAUGGUAGAAGCUAGCUAAAAUAUAAUUUGAUAGUAGACCGCUAUUUAACUACACUUGCUACAAACACAUUUAUUGAAUCGACCACUAGAGGGAGGCAUAGCCUUAUCCAUUGUCAACAGGCUGCAAUGUUUUUACUUAAUUUUUUACAAGGUUUAUACUCUAACCAACCAUGUAGAGUGUUGUGUGUAGCAUUUUUUUUAGACUCUUAUACUCUAAUUGUUAAUCUGACUUCCUACAUGUCUCCCUUUGCAUUCAUAUGCUUUACAUUUUUCAACACAUUACUCUUGAGUUAUUUUCUAUUCAACAGAUGAUUUCUUGACUUGGUGUCUGUUGUCUGCUUGGUUGAGUUGAGACAAAUAAAGAGGGAGAUGGCAGUGCCAGCGGCCGGGGGCGUAGACCUCAGUCGGAAAUUUGUGUCAGAGACUGUGAUCGAGGAGAAGAGGAAGCAAAUACAGGAGGAAUGGGAAAAAGUUAGGAAGCCAGAGGACCCAGAGGAGGCUCCUGAGGAAGAGUAUGAUGGGCGUUCACUCUUUGAGCGGCUACAGGAGCAGAAGGACAAGAAGCAGGAGGAGUAUGAUGAGCAGUUUAAAUUCAAGAACAUGGUCAAAGGCCUGGAUGAGGAUGAGUCUCACUUCUUGGAUGAGGUCUCCAGGCAACAGAGCCUGGUGGAGAAACAACGCAGAGAUGAGGAGCAGCAUGAGCUAAAAGAGUACAGAAGUGCUCUGAAAAAGCUGGCAUCCAGUGAGAGUCGGAAGGAGCCAGAGCGGAGAGUGGGACCUAGACCAGCUGAGGUCAAGACCAGUCACCUGUCCCAGGCCCAUCUGUUGGCCGGGGCAGUGAAGCGACGCAGCUCCUCACAGUCCUCAGACAAUAGCAAGAAACAGAAGGUUGAGGAGUCUGCAGCAUGGAAUGGGGGCCAGACAGGAGGCGGGCAGAGAUGCGGGUAAGCAGACCUCCACAGUAAAGACGACAGGCAUCCUCCACCUGCCAUCGGCCGCCGUGUGUGUGGGCAUCCUGCCGGGCCUGGGAGCCUACUCCGGCAGCAGUGACUCUGAGUCCAGUAGCGACAGCGAAGUUUAAAUCCCUGGCAGCCUAACCUGACGACAUCCCCCUGCGGCUGCAAGCUGUGCUAUUGGCCAAGGGAACAGUGACUGACAUCUUGGGAUCAAGGAUGGGACUGCCACAUCACAUUCAUACCAAACCUUAGAAAACAUCAAGAAAGCAAGCCUGAGCUUUGUGGGCAGUCUCAGAUGCAAUGUAUGUGGAAAUAUUUGUCCUUUUAUUUUUGUGUAUUUUUGAAUGCGUCAGUGCAAAUAAUUCUGGAUUUGAAUGGACUUCUCUCCAUUGAAAUGUGUGUUUGAUCAUUGGAAGGUCGAGGCUUGGGGAGAAGAAAGUAAAGCGUUUUCUUUGUGUAUUUGGUGUGACGAGUUGAAUAAUGAAUGAAUGAUAAAUGGAAUGAAAUACAGUUUGAAUAAAAUGGAAGUGAUUUCUGUUUGUACUCAUUCACAUGCAGUCUUUAACCAAUAAGAAUAGAAUGUAGGAAUACGUUUCUCAGGGUGCUCUUUGUAGGAAGCCUUGUUGGUAUUGCAUACACAUCUUAAGAAAAUUCUCUCAAUUGGAUAAAGUGAAAAGUUGAUUUAACCAGGCAUAUCCAGGAUACUGAUUGUUUCAAACUAACUUUUUGAAAUGUUCAAGCAUAAUUAAUUAAUUGUGUUGCCUCGACCUUAUGUUUCAGUCAAGCACCCAGCACAGUGACAUUUCUGUAUGUUUAUUGACCUGAGUGGUAACGAAUACAUGGUGAACAUUAUAAAAUCAAGAACGUCUUCAAGGUACAGUACAAGUACAACAAAUUACAAUUCACUGCAUAAAAGGUACAGAAAAACUUUUCAUAAACAUUUUCUUUUGAAAACAGAACAUUGUAUAAAUUUACAUUCAGGGUAGAGUAUAUGCAUUUCUAAUUUUCUCUUCAGGGGACUGCAAAGUAGUAUUCUUUGACACAUACUGUAUUUCUCUUCCACAAAGUCUUGCUUUCAGAUAAGGUUAAAAAAUCAGAUGAAUACAUAUUAAAAAACCUUUUCAUGCA